rnacentral:rRNA from 1 species
CCGACGGGGGCCCGCACAAGCGGGGAGCAUGUGGUUAAUUUGCAACGGAAGAACCUCCUAUCUGACAUCCAGAGAACUUAGCAGAGAUGCUUGGUGCCUUCGGGAACUCUGAGACAGGUGCUGCAUGGCUGUCGUCAGCUCGUGUUGUGAAAUGUUGGGUUAAGUCCCGCAACGAGCGCAACCCUUAUCCUUUGUUGCCAGCGGUUGGCCGGGAACUCAAAGGAGACUGCCAGUGAUAAACUGGAGGAAGGUGGGGAUGACGUCAAGUAUCAUGGCCCUUACGAGUAGGGCUACACACGUGCUACAAUGGCAUAUACAAAGAGAAGCGACCUCGCGAGAGCAAGCGGACCUCAUAAAGUAUGUCGUAGUCCGGAUUGGAGUCUGCAACUCGACUCCAUGAAGUCGGAAUCGCUAGUAAUCGUGGAUCAGAAUGCCACGGUGAAUACGUUCCCGGGCCUUGUACACACCGCCCGUCACACCAUGGGAGUGGGUUGCAAAAGAAGUAGGUAGCUUAACCUUCGGGAGGGCGCUUACCACUUUGUGAUUCAUGACUGGGGUGAAGUCGUAACAAGGU